rnacentral:rRNA from 1 species
UACAGAGGUCCCGAGCGUUGUUCGGAUUUAUUGGGCGUAAAGGGUGCGUAGGCGGCGGAGUAAGUUGGGUGUGAAAUCCCGAGGCUCAACCUCGGAAUGGCAUUCAAUACUGCUUCGCUCGAGUACUGGAGAGGAGGCUGGAAUUUACGGUGUAGCAGUGAAAUGCGUAGAUAUCGUAAGGAAGGCCGGUGGCGAAAGCGAGCCUCUGGACAGUUACUGACGCUGAUGCACGAAGGCCAGGGGAGCAAACGGG